rnacentral:rRNA from 1 species
GAUGAACGCUGGCGGCGUGCCUAAUACAUGCAAGUCGAGCGGACAGACCCGGCUCUUGCUCCUCUGACGUUAGCGGCGGACGGGUGUGUAACACGUGUAUCACCUACCUAUAUUUCUGGGAUCAUUUCGGGAAACCGGCUCUAAUACCGUAUAAUCUAUUGCACCGCAUGGUUCAAUAGUGAAAUACGGUUUUGCUGGCUCUUCUCGCUGGAUCCGCGCCGCUUUAGCUGGUUGUUACGUUAACGGCUUUUCACGGCAACGAUGCGUAACCGACUGGAGAGGGUGGUCGGCCACACUGGAACGGGGACGCGGUCCAGGGUCCUACGGGAGGCAGCAGUAGGGAAUGUGACGCAAUGGGCGAGAGCCUGACGGAGCAAGGCCGCGUGAGUGAUGAAGGCCUUCGGAGCGUAAAGCUCGGUUAUUAGGGAAGAACAAAUGUGGAAGGAAAUAUGCACGGCUUGACGGUAACGAAUCAGAAAGCCACGGCUAACUACGUG